rnacentral:rRNA from 1 species
AUUGAACGCUGGCGGCAGGCUUAACACAUGCAAGUCGAACGAGUGGCGGACGGGUGAGUAAUGCUUGGGAAUCUAGCUUAUGGAGGGGGAUAACUACGGGAAACUGUAGCUAAUACCGCGUACCAUAGGAUGAGCCCAAGUGGGAUUAGGUAGUUGGUGAGGUAAAGGCUCACCAAGCCGACGAUCACUAGCUGGUCUGAGAGGAUGACCAGCCACACUGGAACUAGGACACGGGCCAGAAUCCUACGGGAGGCAGCAGUGGGGAAUAGUGCACAAUGGGCGCAAGCCUGAAGCGGCAAUGCCGCGUGUGUGAGUAAGGCCUUCGGGUUGUAAAGCACUUUCAGCGGGGAGGCGGUACUCGCAAAAGAAGCACCGGCUAACUCCGUGCCAGCAGCCGCGGUAAUAC